rnacentral:RNase_P_RNA from 1 species
UGAGUGGACCAGACAGUCGCGCAUUCUUCAGAAUGUGAGGAAAGUCCGAGCACCACAGGGCAGGAUAACGGCUAACGGCCGCCGCGGGUGACCGCCGGGAAAGUGCAACAGAGAUAUACCGCCUGCAUCGCAGGUAAGGGUGGAAAGGCGAGGUAAGAGCUCACCGGCACGUUGGAGACAGCGUGGCCCUGCAAACCCUAUCCGGUGCAAUGCUGACCGAAACGAUACAUUGGCCCGAUGUGUUUCAAAAAGCAGCUGGAGCCGUCUGGCAACAGACGGUCGAGAUAGAUGACUGUCCAACGACAGAACUCGGCUUAUCGGUCCACUCACAUU